rnacentral:rRNA from 1 species
ACGGAAGGCAGCAGUGGGGAAUAUUGCACAAUGGGGGAAACCCUGAUGCAGCGACGCCGCGUGAGUGAAGAAGUAUUUCGGUAUGUAAAGCUCUAUCAGCAGGAAAGAAAAUGACGGUACCUGACUAAGAAGCCCCGGCUAACUACGUGCCAGCAGCCGCGGUAGUACGUAGGGGGCAAGCGUUAUCCGGAUUUACUGGGUGUAAAGGGAGCGUAGACGGCUUUGCAAGUCUGAAGUGAAAGCCCGGGGCUCAACCCCGGAACUGCUUUGGAAACUGUAGAGCUAGAGUGCAGGAGAGGUAAGUGGAAUUCCUAGUGUAGCGGUGAAAUGCGUAGAUAUUAGGAGGAACACCAGUGGCGAAGGCGGCUUACUGGACUGUAACUGACGUUGAGGCUCGAAGGCGUGGGGAGCAAACAGGAUUAGAUACCCUGGUA